rnacentral:rRNA from 1 species
UGGGGAAUAUUGCACAAUGGGCGCAAGCCUGAUGCAGCCAUGCCGCGUGUAUGAAGAAGGCCUUCGGGUUGUAAAGUACUUUCAGUCGGGAGGAAGGUGGUAAGGUUAAUAACCUUAUCAAUUGACGUUACCGACAGAAGAAGCACCGGCUAACUCCGUGCCAGCAGCCGCGGUAAUACGGAGGGUGCAAGCGUUAAUCGGAAUUACUGGGCGUAAAGCGCACGCAGGCGGUUGAUUGAGUCAGAUGUGAAAUCCCCGGGCUUAACCCGGGAAUUGCAUCUGAUACUGGUCAGCUAGAGUCUUGUAGAGGGGGGUAGAAUCCCAUGUGUAGCGGUGAAAUGCGUAGAGAUGUGGAGGAAUACCGGUGGCGAAGGCGGCCCCCUGGACAAAGACUGACGCUCAGGUGCGAAAGCGUGGGGAGCAAACAGG